rnacentral:lncRNA from 1 species
CUGUGCCCCAGGAGCACCAGGGCGAAGCACUCUCGCAGCCCUCAUAGCGGCUCAGCGCGCGAUGCACAGUAAUCAAAAGGGAUUACUGCCAGAACCCAAUCCGGUACAGAUUAUGAAAAGUUUAAACAAUCCUGCCAUGCUACAAGUUCUUCUGCAGCCCCAGCUCUGUGGACGGGCCGUGAAGCCAGUUCUCGGAGUCACACCCAGCCUAUCUCAUCUGCUGAGUCCGUCCCUCCCCUCCGCGCUCUUACACUUCAGUAAAGCACAGCAGAGCUCAGCUGUGGGUAACACAUCAUCCUUACUCCUUCAGAAUCUUUCUCCCUUACCUUUGAUACAGCAACCGUUGAUGAAGUUUGACAACGCCCACACUAAUAAUAAGCCUGGCUUGCUGGGAGAGCCUCCCGCCAUGGUGCUGCAGCCUGCUCUGGCAAUAGGGCCACCACUUCCACUGAAAACGGACCUGGGACAUCAUGGAGAAGCACACAAGUCAGUUCCGACUGUUGAAGUUGACCAGGCAGUGGUUAAAUUGCCGAAAAACUUUCUCGGUAUGAUGGGAGUCUGCCAUUUCGAAAAGCGUUGACUUUCUAUUACUGAAAAUGUUUGUUCCUCAUAUUGAUGUUCGAUCAUAUGCCGUUUGCUACCUCACGUGCUGUUUUAAGAACACUGACAAUUCGCUGUCUAAAAUAAAUAUAUCCUAAAAG